GGAGAAUUAGCUCAGCUGGGAGAGCAUCUGUCUUACAAGCAGAGGGUCGGCGGUUCGAACCCGUCAUUCUCCACCA
rnacentral:tRNA from 5 species